GAUGAACGCUGGCGGCGUGCCUAAUACAUGCAAGUCGAGCGAACAGACGAGGAGCUUACUCCUCUGACGUUAGCGGCGGACGGGUGAGUAACACGUGGAUAACCUACCUAUAAGACUGGGAUAACUUCGGGAAACCGGAGUUAAUACCGGAUAAUAUAUUGAACCGCAUGGUUCAAUAGUGAAAGACGGUUUUGCUGUCACUUAUAGAUGGAUCCGCGCCGCAUUAGCUAGUUGGUAAGGUAACGGCUUACCAAGGCAACGAUGCGUAGCCGACCUGAGAGGGUGAUCGGCCACACUGGAACUGAGACACGGUCCAGACUCCUACGGGAGGCAGCAGUAGGGAAUCUUCCGCAAUGGGCGAAAGCCUGACGGAGCAACGCCGCGUGAGUGAUGAAGGUCUUCGGAUCGUAAAACUCUGUUAUUAGGGAAGAACAAAUGUGUAAGUAACUAUGCACGUCUUGACGGUACCUAAUCAGAAAGCCACGGCUAACUACGUG
rnacentral:rRNA from 1 species